rnacentral:rRNA from 1 species
UACGUAGGGCGCAAGCGUUAUCCGGAAUUAUUGGGCGUAAAGAGCUCGUAGGCGGUUUGUCGCGUCUGCCGUGAAAGUCCGGGGCUCAACUCCGGAUCUGCGGUGGGUACGGGCAGACUAGAGUGAUGUAGGGGGAGACUGGAAUUCCUGGUGUAGCGGUGGAAUGCGCAGAUAUCAGGAGGAACACCGAUGGCGAAGGCAGGUCUCUGGGCAUUAACUGACGCUGAGGAGCGAAAGCAUGGGGAGCGAACAGG